rnacentral:ribozyme from 1 species
ACAGACCAAGAAGAAUACAACAAAGAUGAUUAUUAAUUUUAUUUUCUGUCUGUCCAUCUGUCCAUUUACUUUUUGUUUUUUUUUGUUUUUUUUUUUUUUUUUU